UGGGGAAUUUUGGACAAUGGGCGAAAGCCUGAUCCAGCAAUGCCGCGUGUGUGAAGAAGGCCUUCGGGUUGUAAAGCACUUUUGUCCGGAAAGAAAUCCUUGGCUCUAAUACAGUCGGGGGAUGACGGUACCGGAAGAAUAAGCACCGGCUAACUACGUGCCAGCAGCCGCGGUAAUACGUAGGGUGCAAGCGUUAAUCGGAAUUACUGGGCGUAAAGCGUGCGCAGGCGGUUUGCUAAGACCGAUGUGAAAUCCCCGGGCUCAACCUGGGAACUGCAUUGGUGACUGGCAGGCUAGAGUAUGGCAGAGGGGGGUAGAAUUCCACGUGUAGAGUGAAAUGCGUAGAGAUGUGGAGGAAUACCGAUGGCGAAGGCAGCCCCCUGGGCCAAUACUGACGCUCAUGCACGAAAGCGUGGGGAGCAAAACAGGAUUAGAUACCCUGGUAGUCCACGCCCUAAACGAUGUCAACUAGUUGUUGGGGAUUCAUUUCCUUAGUAACGUAGCUAACGCGUGAAGUUGACCGCCUGGGGAGUACGGUCGCAAGAUUAAAACUCAAAUGAAUUGACGGGGUCAUAGCU
rnacentral:rRNA from 1 species